rnacentral:lncRNA from 1 species
AUGGUGUCAUUCAGGACAGAAGGAGCUCCAGUCCCUUCCUGGAGCUGCAAACCCAAACAAGUUAAAGUGACGUUGUAUGUGAAGCUCGGCAUUUUUACAAUCUUGUAUUUAGUGCCACACAGUCAGAGCAGUGUCAUAUCUGAUCUCCUUAAUGGGAUGAUAAUGUGCUGUAGGAGUAUCUAUCUUCUCCUGCCAAGUGUCCAUGGCAUAUUUGAUGAACAGAUGGCCUUUGUCACACAUGGAUUGUGGAAGUUAUUCAGAAGCAGAUCCUCAGGCAAUAACUCCAAGCCAAACUUUAUCCACACAUCCAGGAACAACAUCCUCACAAAAAGCUGAAUCUCAGAUGAAGAAGAAGGAAAUCACAGUGGACAAUACAGACCUCAAGAGUCGACAAUACGCAUGUUGGGCAUAUUCCAAAUCCAAGAUGCAGAAGUAACAGAAAUCAAAGCAAAAUAAUCACAUAGCUAAUGACACAAACACUGGAUAGAAAUAAAAACUUAAGUGGUAUGACA